rnacentral:rRNA from 1 species
UGAGGAAUUUUGCGCAAUGGCCGCAAGGCUGACGCAGCAACGCCGCGUGGGUGAUGAAGGCCUUCGGGUCGUAAAGCCCUGUCAGGUGGGAAGAAAGGCCUGGAGAGGAAAGGUUUCAGGUUUGACGGUACCACCAGAGGAAGCACCGGCUAACUCCGUGCCAGCAGCCGCGGUAAUACGGAGGGUGCGAGCGUUAUUCGGAAUUACUGGGCGUAAAGCGCGUGUAGGCGGGGGGACAAGUCUGAUGUGAAAGCCCUGGGCUUAAACUGGGAAGUGCAUUGGAAACUGUUGUUCUUGAGUACUGGAGAGGAAGGGGGAAUUCCCGGUGUAGAGGUGAAAUUCGUAGAGAUCGGGAGGAAUACCAGUGGCGUAGGCUCCCUUCUGGACGGUAACUGACGCUGAGACGCGAAAGCGUGGGGAGCAAACAG